rnacentral:rRNA from 1 species
UACGUAGGGGGCAAGCGUUGUCCGGAAUCAUUGGGCGUAAAGAGCGUGUAGGCGGCCCGGUAAGUCCGCUGUGAAAGUCCAGGGCUCAACCCUGGGAUGCCGGUGGAUACUGUCGGGCUCGAGUCCGGAAGAGGAGUGUGGAAUUCCUGGUGUAGCGGUGAAAUGCGCAGAUAUCAGGAGGAACACCAAUGGCGAAGGCAGCACUCUGGGACGUGACUGACGCUGAGACGCGAAAGCGUGGGGAGCACACAGG